CCGCUGAAUUUAAGCAUAUCACUAAGCGGAGGAAAAGAAACUAACCAGGAUUCCCCUAGUAACGGCGAGUGAAGAGGGAAAAGCCCAGCACCGAAGCCUGUGGCAGUUUUGCUGCUAGGCAAUGUGGUGUUUAGGUCGGCUCGUGGGAUCGCCACUCCACUCGAAGUCCAGCAUUGAGUAUGGUUCCCAGGAAUUGGCCCAUAGAGGGUGAAAGGCCCGUACGAGUGGAAGUGUCAGAUGUGUAAGGCGAUUCACCAGGCCGGCCUUAGAGUCGGGUUGUUUGCGAAUGCAGCCCAAAGCGGGUGGUAAACUCCAUCCAAGGCUAAAUACUAGCACGAGUCCGAUAGCGAACAAGUACCGUGAGGGAAAGUUGAAAAGUACUUUGAAGAGAGAGUAAACAGUACGUGAAACCGCAUAGAGGUAAACGGGUGGCGUCAAGCUGCAAGCCUGGAGAAUUCAGUCGGUCAGGGUGUGUGCCCAGGGAGUUUGGCUAGUCCGCCGGAAAAUGGCGGGCCCAGCUGUCAAAGGCUGGGAUUUGCGUACCGGGAGGUAGCCGGAACUUGCUAGCCAUCUGUUGGACUGUCUGGCCGAUGCACUUUCUCUGUUGGUAAACACCACGACCGGUGGUACUGCCAGUCUGCUGUGGCCAGCUUCAUUGCACGCCUCGGUGUGUGAUGAUCACAGACAAUUUCAGUGCACGGUGCUCGUUUGCUUCUUGCAGACGGGCAUGUUAUCGGGUACUGGUUGUAAACGGGUCGGCCUGUCGACUUGUCUGUAGUCGGAGUUGACGGGUGACUCGGUGGGCUACGGUGGUAUGAAUAACUGUGCAGGGCACCGGAGUUUUCGGUCUGAUGGUGAUCGCUUGCGAUUGCCGCCGGCUGCACACGUCCUGCAGUUUAGCGUGUGUGUUUGUGUGCACAGAUGGCGCUGCUACUGCCUGCCAGUCGUUGGGUCUGAUUGUCGUGUCGCCUGCCAAAAUGGCGGGUCCGGCAGUGGCCUGGCGGUGGAUGGUGUUAGUAGACGGCGUUGUCGUAGUGCAGCCGGUCGAUGGACCAGAUAGUCUGUGGUGUAGUGGUAGACGAGCUACCCGACCCGUCUUGAAACACGGACCAAGGAGUUUAACAUGCGCGCGAGUCAUUGGGUAGUACGAAACCCAAAGGCGCAGUGAAAGUGAAGCCUCGACAUAUAUUGUUCUCGGGGUGUGGUGAGAUCCCGCUGUUUCUCGCACACAGCUGUCCAGCUAGACGAGCAGUGGGCGCAUCACCGGCCCGUCCCAUGAUGUGGCUAUUUGUUGGUGGCAGCCUAUGCCAGUGUCGGCUCUCGGGUCCGGCGCUGGUGGUUG
rnacentral:rRNA from 1 species